CCUACGGGUGGCAGCAGUGAGGAAUAUUGGUCAAUGGCCGAGAGGCUGAACCAGCCACGUCGCGUGAGGGAAGACGGCCCUACGGGUUGUAAAUCUCUUUUUUCGGGGAGCAAAGAGAGUCACGUGUGACUGAUUGAGAGUACCCGAAGAAAAAGCAUCGGCUAACGCCGUGCCAUCAGCCGCGGUAAUACGGGGGAUGCGAGCGUUAUCCGGAUUGAUUGGGUGAAAAGGGUGCGCAGGCGGAGGUGCAAGUCAGCGGUCAAAUUGCGGGGCUCAACCCCGGACUGCCGUUGAAACUGCAUCCCUUGAGUGCGCGAGAAGUAUGCGGAAUUCGUGGUGUAGCGGUGAAAUGCAUAGAUAUCACGCAGAACUCCGAUUGCGAAGGCAGCAUACCGGCGCGCAACUGACGCUCAUGCACGAAAGCGUGGGUAUCGAACAGGAUUAGAUACCCUUGUAGUC
rnacentral:rRNA from 1 species